rnacentral:tRNA from 1 species
AAAAAGUUAGUUUAAAAAAAACAUUAGCUUGUCAAGCUAAAAUUAUUAAUAUUAAUACUUUUUA